AAUGAACGCUGGCGGCAGGCCUAACACAUGCAAGUCGAACGGAUCCUUCGGGAUUAGUGGCGGACGGGUGAGUAACGCGUGGGAACAUACCCUUUGGUACGGAAUAGCCUCGGGAAACUGGGAGUAAUACCGUAUGUGGUCGAGAGACGAAAGAUUUAUCGCCAAAGGAUUGGCCCGCGUUGGAUCAGGGAGUUGGUGGGGUAAUGGCCUACCAAGCCGACGAUCCAUAGCUGGUUUGAGAGGAUGAUCAGCCACACUGGGACUGAGACACGGCCCAGACUCCUACGGGAGGCAGCAGUGGGGAAUCUUAGACAAUGGGGGAAACCCUGAUCUAGCCAUGCCGCGUGAUCGAUGAAGGCCUUAGGGUUGUAAAGAUCUUUCAGGUGGGAAGAUAAUGACUGUACCACCAGAAGAAGCCCCGGCUAACUCCGUGCCAGCAGCCGCCGUAA
rnacentral:rRNA from 1 species